rnacentral:misc_RNA from 1 species
CGCACAUUGCGCCCCUUGGUAUUCCGGGGGGCAUGCCCGUUCGAGCGUCAUUUCACCAAUCAAGCCCCGCUUGGUAUUGGGCCAUGGGGCAGACCCAGGCCUCAAAGUCGUCGGCUGGAAAGCUCUGAUCUCAGCGUCGUUGUAAUCAAUUCGCUGGCGAGAGGAGCGGUCCAUGCCGUUAAACCCAUCAAAGGUUGACCUCGGAUCGGGUAGGAAUACCCGCUGAACUUAA